UACGGAGGAUCCGAGCGUUAUCCGGAUUUAUUGGGUUUAAAGGGUGCGCAGGCGGGAAAUUAAGUCGGCGGUGAAAUUUUGCAGCUCAACUGUAAAAGUGCCUUCGAAACUGGUUUCCUUGAGUGUAGAUGAAGUAGGCGGAAUUUGUGGUGUAGCGGUGAAAUGCUUAGAUAUCACGAGGAACUCCGAUUGCGCAGGCAGCUUACUAAACUACUACUGACGCUCAGGCACGAAGGCGUGGGGAUCAAACAGGAUUAGAUACCCCUGUAGUCCCUGA
rnacentral:rRNA from 1 species